UUCAUUCCCUCAGUGUUGAAACAAUCUCUGCUGAACCAGAUUCUAAAAGUUCACUGGAGUUUGUUUCAACAUUGCAAGAAUGAUAAGAUCAAUGC
rnacentral:miRNA from 1 species